GAACACAGUUAAAGGUUGUUCUGCUUGUUAAUAUAUAUAUAUAUAUUUGCACAAUAAUGCUCGAUCCGAGCCAUUUUGCAUUCCAAAGUAAUUUCUUCGCUAUGUCUAUUAAAACCGUCAAUAAAAUCACGACGUCUCAAGUUUAAACCCAAUCAUAACCUUAAAAAAAGAAAGUAACUUCUUGUAUUUCAGUUCCAUGAUCAUAACACUUGCUCGUCACACUUUUAUGCUUCAAUGAGAAAUCUCAAUGUCCCAAUCACUAUUUCCAGAGGGAAUUGUUAUUGUCACAAGAUUGUCCUCUUCUCUGAAUGUAAAUCCCACUUCUUUGGAGUUUAACAAGCAAGAUUUUGGGUUUACACUGGAGUAUGCACCAAACGUACCUUCCCCUCUCCCCUUGAUGCCUAUUCUACCACCAGACUGCUCAAUUGACUCUACAGCUCCACCAGAAUUGUACAUGUUUAUUAAUCCAAUAGCUGCGAACUCAAUAUUCUGAUUGUAAACCUUGAUAGGUGCUAUGGUAAAGACAUCACAUUGUAGAGUUUUUAACGAAAUAUCAAAAGCUUCUUCCUUCUGCAAUCGACAUAUAGAUCCUGUAUUUAAAGAAUAAAUUGCAGAGUCUCCAGUCCACAAUUUCCCAGAGACCUCUUCAAAAUACUCAACAUCAGCAGGAGAUACCUUUCCAGAUAUCUCUUCACUCAUAUCUUUCUGUAUUGUGUUUUCCAGUUCCAGACAAGGCCAGCUGCCUGCUCCUUGGCAAUUGAAGACACCAAGAACUCCAUUACAUUUGUUCAAGUUCCAGAUCUUCAUAAGACUCUUCCCAUCCAUAACUGGAUCGCUGAAUAAACAGUCUCUUGUUGGUCUUCCUGGGUAUUUUGCUCUAAGAACUGAUCCAUCAGGAAGCACAAGCUUUUUGAGAAUGUUGAAAUCAUGAUGGCCGGGUUUGUCGCUAACAUAGACUCCACAGCCUCCCACAGCUCUAGCUCCAGCAUGAAAUUCAGCUGCAUCAUGGAGGCUAUAGAACAUAUCCCAGUCAGGGACAACAACUUCACCAAGGAAUAUGCUGUUAAAUGCCACAGCAGCUAUGUGCAAUGUCUGUGUGGUUGGAUUUUUUGGGUAAUAAUCAUCAGAGGCUCGCGUUAUAGCACUUUGCUUUGAAUGGUAAAUGGAGUCUGUGCUCUGACCCAUGCAGCAGAUAAUGCUAUUGUCAUGGAAGUUGGUGGCUAUUGACUCCUCAAGUGCUUGUUGAAAAUGUCUGGUGAGUAACACUCGACCUCCCAAACCAGUUGCAAUAGUUUCCAGUAUGUUCUGUACAUCAACCUUAACCCCAUCCACAUUUUGUGCAGCAAGAUAACCAUGUAGAUCAUUAUAAAAUUGGGAUAUUCUUGCAGGAUCAAUUGCGCCAACACCAUACUUCUCCAUACAAUCCAUUGAGAUAUCCCUCAUAUUUGCCAAGUUCCCUGGUGACUGGACUGGAUAUGUCAGUUUUGGAUUAUAUUUUUCAGUUCCUUCCGCAUUUGGAGCAAGGCCUCCCCAGUAUCCCAAUAAAGCAUGCCAUACAUAGACGUACCUGAAGAACUUUAGAUGGAUAAAAAUUGCAUAAAAGAAAAUCCCAAGAAGAACAUUAACAAUUUAACGCAUUGUUCUUUAGAUCAUUUGAAGCCUAUAACAAAGGACGCACUUAAGGCCAAAAUUGCUCUUUAUUUCUGAAACAAAAUGCUUUAGAUCAAUUGGAGCAUCACUCUGAGCUUCAUUGCUUCUCUGAAAUUUGUUGUUUUCUUCAAUACUUUCUAAUCUGCCACCGAACCUGUAAUUUGGAGGAAAUUAGGAUGUGUGCAUGUGAUUUUGGGAUGAACAAAAGAAGGUUGGAUAAACUCACUGUGACCCUUCAAUAAGUGGCUCUCCUUCCUUUUGGAACUCAUUACUUGUAUCUUGCCAACCAUCAUCUAUUAUCAAAAACCUUGCAGGAGUGCCUCCUUGGGAUAAACUGUGAGAGUAUAAAUUAGAGCAAAACAAAAAGAGUUAUACUGACUAAAAAUGAAAAUCAAACAUUUUGAAAUUCACGGCAUUGUAUUAACAUUUUGAAAUUCACGGCAUUGUAUUAUAUUUGGAUUAAAUAUGUAUAAAAAAAAAAUUAUGUCAACCUCCUAAGACCAUCUUUUAUUCCUUGGGGAUUUACUUUUGUGUAAAAGGCAUCCCAAGUGCACCAACCAAACCAAUCUAGAAUUCCAGGCAUCUGCAUCAGAAAUCAUAAGAGAAGUGCAUUAAUAGUUGUCCUUUCUUCAUAUUCCCUCAAUAUUGCUAUGCAUAUUGACAGUGUCGUGAUUUCUUUAUUUCUUUUUUUAGUGUUUUCCAAAUGAGUAAUGGAAAUUUCAUGUGUUUCAUUCAGUUUCUAUAUUUAUUUAUUCACUUUCUGUAUUCACUCACUGCACCAAGGAUUUUCAUAAUAAAAAUAAUAGAUCAAAUAGAAGAAAAAUGCAGGCAACUUGCUUGUUUUCUUUCGCGGACGGUAAAGGUUCCAGUCUGCUCCUCCAAAAUCCUGUAUAUGGGGCAAAGCAGAGGUGAGAAAUGGACCGAAAAAGUAGAAGCCUGGCUGCUAACUAAAUUGAUAACCCUAGCAACUAGCCACAAGUCAUGAUCUCAGCAGAACUUAGCUGACAUGCUUACUAGUGACCCAAUUAAUUUCUGUUAGUUCCCUAAGAUUGAAACUGAAAUUUUGCUCGGAAAGCUGACCUACUUCAUGGAUUCCUUCAUCAGAUCAAAUGGAUGGUUUCCAUAAUUCACAAAAACUGCUUUUAGGCUUUCUGAAGUAACUAUAGCAGGGUCACCUAUCAAAAUACAAAAAAAGCCCAUAUUAUUAGUCUACAAAACAAAGGUAACAGUUGAGAAGAGACAAUGACCACUGAGAAUCAAGAAACUUCUCUUCUUCUUCUUUUAUUUUUCUCCAAUUAAUGUUCAUCCUCAAGCAGGCCUCAUAUUCAGAAUUCAUAUGAUAAGUGCAACUACCCAACAGGUUAAUCCGGUUAGUAAGAAUGGAUCAUUUCUUGUCAACGAGGAUUCAACUGGUUGUCAAUCAACACCAUAAUGUCAAAAACAAAGUGAUUGAAUUUGAAUUAAUAAGAACGUACCACUUUCUACACAUAACUCAAGUUCAUCAGAUGAGUUCCCCUGCAAGCUGCUCCUAAAUUCACCAUCAAGAACAGGCAAAAAGACAAUGUAAGAAGGAGAACCGUUAUCUGGUCCUUUACUCACUUCCAUGAGCAACAUCUGAGUUUCAAUGGGAAUUUCGCUUCCUGAAUCCCCCACCCGAGGUAUCAUCCACCAAAGUUUGAAUCUAAACAGAGAUAAUAACCUAACAUUGCGAACAACUCCAAGCUUGAAAACGUGUCGAGAACUGCUCUCUGUAGAAGAAGCCCCCAAGAAUGCAGAAGACUGAGAUUCAGUUAAUGGGGCGAGGAAAACAUUGUCAGGAACUCCAGCCAAUGCAGGCUUGCCAUUAACAGUAAGAGUGCCAUCUUUCAGGGCAGGUUUUGUAAUGAUACACAUGGAAUGCCUCCAUUUAUUGGCAUUACUUUUAUUCAGACGCCGAAGAGACCUAUGUGAGAAAAGGCUCAAAGCAGUGCGGGAAUUAGAAGGGAUUAAAAAUGAUGAUGAGAAGAAUGAAUUGGGUUGCCUAGGCCUAGAGAACAUGGUGAUAGACAUGCUGAUAUUCAUGUUCGUGGUGGCUUGCGCCAUGGUGAGUUCUGUGGAGGUUGGUUAAUUUGACCGUUGGAAAUGAAAAUGAAGAGUUGAGUAGAUGGAA
rnacentral:misc_RNA from 1 species